UACGUCGCCGAUGUCAGGUGAAAUCCCUUCUUCUUCUUCGUCUGAUGUUUUAUGGCGGUUGGCAAACAGCUUUUCAGAGGUAUUCUCUGCCGGUGAUCUCAGCCACAGUCUCCCCUCGGAUCGCUGCAAGACUGUUUCCUGUACCAACUGCCACGCUACACUAGCCUGCUGCCUUGCCUGCUCUGUCAACCUCAUCUCUCGAGCCUGCUGCCUCUUGUGUCCACCCCACAGAUCAGUUGUCUGGUCGGUUCAGCACACCCCACUACACCAGCCAGUCCAGAGCCUGCUUCCCCUGUCUCUGUCCGGAACGUUGCCACGUCAUCUAUGACCUGGGCCGGCCGCGUCAUCUGUCUACAGGGAACUACGCCAGACUACCGCACAGUUAUUAUUACAGCAAUAAUAAAGACUGUUACUAACGAAA